UAUAACUUUUAAUGAAGACAGUUGAAGUUCCAGAAAUACUGUACAGUCUAGACUUGCUCAUAUUCGUACCGAUAUAGAAAUGUAAAUGUUGGAGUAAAGGGAUCUUCAGAGAAUAGAACAGUAACUUGUCUCGCAUCACAUUUCAUUAAUUCGAAUAAGGACUCAGAAGAUUGGCAGUUCAUUUGAAUAUUUAUGAAUCUCACGUUUUAAACUGUGAAAUGAGACUCGUUUGCCCAUAUAAGUAACUCUGCGGAGUGUCAGACUGAACUUUUACGUUACAUAACCCUCAAAUGGAUCAACUCGAACAUUGAAGCUUAAAUCAACAAAUUUCAAGAAAACGUGGAGAAUGAUGUAUAGAAGAGGAACUCAUCGCUCGAAUGCAAUUUUGCUGCGAGCUAAACAGUUUUAAGGUGUGAUACGCAACUUUUGAACUGAUGAACUCAAACACUGAGGCUUAACAGCAAAUCUAACAGAAAAUUCUUGGAAAAUGUAGAAAAUGAUGUACGAAACAAUAGAAACGAAUCGAUGUGUUAAACAUUUUUAUUAUUAUAUUCCCGGACAAGAACUCUUGAAAAUUGUAAACUGUUUAUCCAAUAUCGGUGUCUCUAAUGACACGAUGCGUCCAAAUAGCUGGUGAAUGCCAGUGGAAAGACGAAAGAGAAAAAAGGGGUCGUAGAAGCGAAAGAAAGUAUGUAAACUUACACUUUAUGAGCUGCACAACAUCCGUAUGCGUGGACUGCAUUACAUUCACGCCGUUAACCUGGAAAGACCAGUCGCAAUUAUAAACACUGUACA